UAUAUGCAAGUCCUCCUCCUCUUAUGGACUCGUAAAGGAUGGAAGCUUGUGCGAGUUGUUAUAAAAUGGGAAGCCCUACUGCUUACUCACCACCCAUCUUCUCCAAGAGAAAAGAAGAGAAAAAAAAAAGGAGCCAGUAAGGCUUCCCACACAUCAUUCUUUUUUUAGUAACAUUAAUAUUUGCAUUUGGUUGUCUUUACCAAGCAAUUCAGAGACAUGGGAUCAGAGAGCUCUCAGCCGUCUUCUCCUCCUCCUCCUCCUCCUCCUCCUCCUCCUUCACGUGGAGGUGAAGAACCACCCAAAAACUGUCCGGUGGAUUAUAGUUUAUUAAAUUUAGUAGAUAAGGAUGAUAAGCAGUGUUGGAAACCAGAAAGGCUCGACGACCACAUGACUGCUCUACACAGUAAAAGGCUGCCCAUAGGCAAAUGGUGAAGUGGUUCAUACAUAGGACGUCUUAUAUAUCGCGGUCUGCUGUCAACUAAUAACAUCAAUAUUAUUAUUAUGUAUAAUAAUUAAGCUAUUCCAUUAAAGUUCUAUAUAUGUACUUCCACAAUCCAGAGCUUAGCAGACCUGGUAUGUAUUUGUAAUUUUAGUGUGUGUAUAUAUAUAUUGAGCUCUUAAGAAGAAGAAAAAUCGAUAACUCGCUAGAUUUACUGCACAUUAUUGAAACAAGAAAUAACCGUCAACUUUAAAAUCUUGCAUGGAGAGAGAGUACCGGUUGUCGCGUGCACGUUUCAGCGUUUACUCGUGUAUUUUGGUUUCCGAUCGUGCCCCUACCCAGCUCUCUCCAGUCUCCACCAAGCUUUUUGCCAUUUUCAACUCAUUUUUUUUCUUCAUGCAAACUAAAGCCAAUAUUUACACUAACUAUUUUACGCUUGUUCAGGAGUUGGUAAGGUGCACCCGGAAUAGAAUACAACUCGUUUGAUAAUUAUUUUAAAGCAAGGCUUAGUAAUUAUUUCGUUUUAGGUUUUAGUUAUAAACUUUUACUUUUCGUGCUUAAGAAAUAAAAUGUGUAUUGAUGAAAAAGGGUGGUGAGAGCAACGGUGGGAAGAGAUAUUAAAAAAAAAAAUGAAUAAAAAAAAAUUCAAGAUUUUGAAAAGAACUUAAAAAUAGUUUUUUUAUUUUUUGUUUCAGUUUUCAAUUUCUUCACCCUUUUCUUAUAUAUUUUUUUUCUACGUCUACCAUCACCAUCCUUCCUAAAGUUUGGUGCCUACAAUGGAAGAUUUGCAGUCUUAUAAAUAUUCUUUUUCACGGCUAAUUCAUCUUUUACACUUAAUAAUUACGAAAUUUAAAAUUAUCCUAUAUUUCUGCAAUUAAAAUUUAAAAAUUAUCCAAUACAAUCCAAUCUUGAGUACAAAAACGAUUAUGCGUUUCAUUGACAAAGUCCAUUUGACGUCAGGUGAAAUCAUGAUGCUAUAUUGUGUGGGGGUUUUUGAUCACUCUCAAUUGCAUCGUAAUUGAGUGGCAGGCAAUAUCGUUUUGGGAUUAUAAGGAAUAUAUGCUGCAAGGAGUUGACGUGACAAGCAAGCAAUUUAGUGAGUGGUGCUAAAUCAUCAAGAAUAAAAGUUAACAGACUUAAGUAUAGUUUGGCAUUGAGUUGCUUAAAAAAAAAGCUGCUUAUUUUCAAAGUUUUUACGUUGAAGGUGUUUAGUAAACUAUAAAAAAAACAUUAUUUUAGAAGUUGUUGUGAGAAUAAGCUAAAAUCUUCAAAAAGGCUGAAGCAGCUAAAUGCUGCAUUGGAAAACUGAUUUUUUUUCAAACCGCGUGGAGCUACAGUGCUUUUAAAGUUCAAUAACAUCCUCAAACCAGAAAUGGUGCUCCUUUGCCGAUCUCCACAAAACCCAGAAACCCACCAGAAACAACUUUGCUGAUCUGCACAAGAAAUGGAAACACACCCAGAAACCCACCAGACUACCAUAGCCAAAACCAGAAACGAUUUUCCUUUGCCGAUCUGUGUGCUAAACUAGCCUUAACUUUCUAAGACAUUGGAUACAAACAUCAAAACCCAAAAGCCAAAAAUUGAAUAAAUAUCAGCUUUAAGAUUUCACCGCCAUCAAUUCUAUAAUUUGAUUAAACACAAUUCCAGAAAAAUAAACAAUCUGAGCCACUAAAAGCUUGAAACUUUAUCGAUUUUGGAAAAGUCGAAAAGAAAUCGUGGGCAAUUUGGGUUAAAAACUAAAUACCUCUGGUUCUCCGAAGGUCCGGACUGAAACUAUGGCCAUUGGGCGUCGGUGAAGAGAGACGGAGAAAGGGAGGGACUACAGAGAGGAGUGUUUUCUGUUGUCGAGGAUUACAGACAGGAAUUAGGAAGGAAGGUGGUGGGAGGAAGAAGGGUUUAGAGUUAAAAUGGGUUUUGAUGCCACUUAACAAAGGUGUUUUCUUAAUUAUUGAUUUAUUAAAUAAUAAACUAAAUUUAAAAAUCUGAUUAAUUCAAAUGAUAUGGCUGUCCACAUCAUAUGCCACCUAAGGUGGUAUAGAAAUGUGGUAUAAAACAUGGUAUGAAUAGCAUUACUCAAAAAAAAUAGGAAGACUUCUAGAGAGACUAUUAAUAAAUAAAAGACAUGGAUUAUUAAUAAAUGAAGAUGGAUAAAAGGAAGAUAGGGCUGGUUUAUUAUUUUACAUUUAACAUUAUACUCAUUUUAUAGUUUUUUUGUCAUUUCACACAGUCACAACUGUUUUAUAUAAAAGUUUACCAAACACUACCAUACUGCUUUUUUUUUUCCAAAAGAACUUUUUACAAAAAAAAAUUUACCAAACACUCUGCUACUUUAUUUCACAGCAGCUUAUUCUCAUAGCACAGCAGAAACAACUUAUUCUCAUAACACAGCAGAAACAGCUUAUUAUCAUAGCACAACAGAACAGUUGUUUUUCAAAGCACAGCAGAAACAAUUUUUUUUAAAGCACAGCAAUAUCAAACCAACCCUGAGAGACUAAUCCCAAAAACACAUUUAAUUUUCAGAUAACAAAUUUUCAUAAUCUAAAUCCACCAUAAUUACCAGUAACAAAACACAAAUCACAAGGUGCUACAACCAUACGGUACUCGACAGAAAAUUAACCCCAUCAUUCGAUCUACAACUAAAACGAUAUGUACAGAACAGGCUACAAACAAAGGUGUCAUCUAGGUGUAUCUAACCAGACUCAAAAAACAGAAGGGGGAGGAGGAGGAGGGGGAGGAAGGGAAGGGAGGGUAAGUACCCUAACUGGAGGCGGCUGUGCAACUACAAUUAUUGAACAAUGCCUCGCAUCCGUCUUUAAUUUUUGGCAGACCCGAUAACAUUUCAAUCCUUCGUUACAGAUUGGUUGACCUCUGAUGUAUUAUCUUUCUGGCUUGGCGGAGGCACGGAUUCUCCUAUUUUCAACUCCCCACUUUGUUGUUGCUGCUGCUGUUGCUGUUGCUGAUGAUGCUGCUGCAUCUGUUGCUGCUGGAGUUGAUGGAGCUGAUGCUGCUGAAACUGGUGCUGCUGCUUCUGAGAAUGAAUCUGGAGCUGUUGAAACUGCUGUGCAGUUAGAAGAGUGUGCAUUGCUUGAUUGUUUGGAUAGAACUGCUGCUGACCCGCCGCGCCAAAAGAAGCGUAGUUCAUCAUAGGUCCACCAUUUGGCAUAGCUUGGCCAGUCAUAACUUUCAGAUGCUGAAUUUCUUCUUUCAGUGCAUUGUUCAAUGCUACGAGACAAACAAAAACAAUAAUGUUUCGGCACAAUUUCAUUCACAUAAGGAUCAAGAACCAGAAGUUACACGGAAUCCGAUCAGCAAGAAAACCUAAAUUAUAGUAUUGUACUGAUACUACACAAACAAGAUGCUACAGUCUAAUUUGAGCAAAACUUCUACAUCGGAUGCUAAUUGGCUCUAAAAAUUAACCAUCCAAUACGAUGGCCAGUCCACUUCAGGUUAGCCAGCAUGUUGUUUAUGGCCUACUACAACAUUGAAAAUGGGCAUAAAUUCAAGGAAAAUCGUUCUUGUCGACAUCGGUGGGGGAGGCAUACCCAGCACCGCUUUGAUUAGCCACAGGAAACUAGAUCCAAUGACUGUACACAGGCUAUGAAUUAGAAGCAAAUAGAGAGACUAAGAACAAAAAUCUACUCAUUUGAUAGACAAGCAGUAAAAUGGUCAAGGCAAGUCUACAUUUACAGCUCAGUAAUAAAAGCCAAAAACACAUAAACCUCUCCGACUAAACAUUCAUCAUAAAGAUGCCAACUCAUGCAAUAUAAAUUUAAAAACACUAAUUUAGUACCUUCUGGAUAAGUUGAAGAAACAAUCAAAUCAAAUCAUAAACUAGUUUAGCACAUAAUUUAGUACCAUCUGGAUAAUUUGAAUAAACAAUCAAAUCAUAAACUCAUUGUGCAAUAGGAAAUGCCGAGGAACCAAAGUUCUUUUGCCGAAUCUUAUAACGUAGACUAUAAUAAAUUAGGUAUUUGGUAAAAGCAUAUGGUGCAAAAAGUCUUCAUCAACCAAAAUCAGAAUUAGCAACCAAUUUUUAUUCUGAGUUAGCAGCAGGAAACAAUGUCUGCCAACUUAACUUAUGGCAUCUUGGAUUCUAAUCUAACAAAAAAUCAAGUAUAUGUAUGCUAGCAUCUACUUAUUGGAUCGUCCAUUACGUACAAAGUUAUUGUGUGUCAGCGUGCUUGUAUCAUGCUUAAUUUCUCCUUUCAGCCAAUGACCACAGACAAUUCAAUAAAAUUAAGGAAAGAAAUAGAUUAUAUGAAAAUUAAUUCUAAUCAUGAAAAUUAUGUACAUUGUUUGCAAACGCAGUUUCAGUUCACUGUUCUCAGCAGUCAGACCAUUUGUAUCUCUCUGCUCAUAAAGAAAUCCAUAAGAAUAAUCGCUUGUAUCUCGUUAUGUAAGCUAGAUCAAACAGUCAUGUGAGUAGUGAAGUGAAAACGAAGGGAAUCAUAAGCAAAGACAUUCAUCUAAUCAGUCCAAUAAAGAGAACCUGGUCUAAUAAAGGAAUGGGUUAAGUGAAAUUUACCUGCAAGAGAGUCAAUUGAGCAGACAAGGAUGUUGCUUCUGUUUGCAACGUCUGGACUUUCUGUUCAAGCUCAGCAAUAUCUCGCAUUUUCCUUUCUUUUGACCUUGCAGCUGAAUGCCUAUUAGCCCGGAUCCUAAUGCAUGUCAACCAAAGGUAAAAUAUUAAGCAUAAUAGUUGAAGCAACGGGGCAAAACAAGGAGACAACGAACUCUUUUAUUUUCAUUUAAGAAGGGAAAAUGAAGAAGGGCAAAAACUAGAAAGCACCAAAGAAAAUCAGAUCCACUUCAAGGGUAACAAGAUGUCACAGGUGCAUUGUUGGAUUGUAUUGCACUUGGUUUGAUGUUAUUUUAGUCGACAAUGCAAAGAUUGGAGAAACAAAGAGGAUGGCACAUAUAACUGCCCCUCACCAUUGACCUUCUCAAAUUUGGAUCACUUAAGCAUUGGAUUGUAUUCAUUCUUCAUGUUAACUUUGUUCUGCAGGCUUCCUUCCUAUGGCUAACUUAAGCAUUUGAGUUAUUCUUUUUUUUUUCAAAGAUAUUUAGCUAUUUAAGUUUUUUUUUUGCCUGAUGUUGAACGAGAUUUUAAAUUCGAAUUAUGGUACCUAUUAUACAUGGCCGCACAUGGUGUGAAGAGAAUGAGCAUAUAUGCAAGUCCUCUUGUGGACCCGUAAAGGAAUGGGAAGCCCUACUGCUUAGUCCCCACCCAUCUUCUGCAAGAGAAAAGAAGAGAAAAAAACAAAUAGAGCCAGUAAGGCUCCCCACCCAUCAUUCUUUUUUUAGUAACAUUAAUAUUUGCAUUUGGUUGUCUUUACCAAGCAAUUCAGAGACAUGGGAUCGGAGAGCUUUCAGCCGUCUUCUCCUCCUCCUCCUCCAUGUGGAGGUGAAGAACCACCCAGAAACUGGCCGGUGGAUACUAAUUCAUCAAAUUUAGUACGUAAGGAUGAUAAGCAGGAUGGGAAACGAGACACCCCCUCCUACAUAUGCAGUAAAAGGCAACCCAGAGGCAAAUGGUGAAGUGGUUCAUACAUAGGACGUCUUGUAUAUCGCGGUCUGCUGUCAACUAAUAACAUCAAUAUUAUUAUUAUGAAUAAUAAUUAAGCUCUUCCAUUAAAGUUCUAUAUAUGUACUUCCAGAAUCCAGAGCUUUGUUAUGUUUGUCCCCUAGCAGACAUGGCAUGUAUUUGUAAUUUUAG
rnacentral:lncRNA from 1 species